rnacentral:rRNA from 1 species
UACAGGGGGUGCAAACGUUGCUCGGUAUCAUUGGGCGUAAAGCGCACGUAGGCGGUCUGUUAUGUCGGAUGUGAAAGCCCUUGGCUUAACUGAGGAAGUGCAUCCGAAACUGGCAGGCUAGAGUACUAAAGAGGGUCGCGGAAUUCCCGGUGUAGAGGUGAAAUUCGUAGAUAUCGGGAGGAACACCGGUGGCGAAGGCGGCGACCUGGGUAGAUACUGACGCUGAGGUGCGAAAGCGUGGGGAGCAAACAGG